rnacentral:rRNA from 1 species
AUGGAGCAAGCUAUCGAACUGUACCAUAGCCGCUACGGACACCAAUUCAUGUAUGUGUAUUGGUGGGAAGAUGUGGGGGAGAGCCAAUGGUGGAAGAUUCAUUUGUACACAGAAGGGGAUGGAACAAAGAGGACAACACCAGUACCAACUGAGAAUGCUCAACAUCCUCCAGGUUGCAAGGAUGCCAAGAAAGCAAAGGGAAAAGAUAAGGAAGCCGCUACAGAGGUCAAUUUCAUGAAAGAACAGAUUGGUGCUUUUCGACAAGCACAAGCUGAUGCUAAGUUGCAAAAUGAAGAGAUGAUGGAAUUGCAGAGUCGACUAUCUGCUCAGAAGGUAGAAGCUAGUCAACUUGCAUAUGAGGCUGCAAAGGAGAGGGCAGUGGCUAAGCUUGCAGAGGAAAGAACUAAAUUGUUUGACAAGUUCACGGAGAUGUUGAAUGCUGAUACUACAAAGCCAUGGGCAAAGGAGAUGCAUAUGAAGGCU